CCUCCCGUAGCGUAGUGGCAACGCGUCGGACUUCUAUGCGUUAGGACAUCCGAAGAUCGGCGGUUCGACCCCGUCCGGGAGUG